UGGGGAAUCUUGCGCAAUGCGCGAAAGCCUGAUCCAGCAAUGCCGCGUGAGUGAUGAAGGCCCUAGGGUUGUAAAGCUCUUUUACCAGGGAUAAUAAUGACAGUACCUGGAGAAUAAGCUCCGGCUAACUCCGUGCCAGCAGCCGCGGUAAUACGGAGGGAGCUAGCGUUGUUCGGAUAUACUGGGCGUAAAGCGCACGUAGGCGGCGCCGCAAGUCAGGGGUGAAAUCCCGGAGCUCAACUCCGGAACUGCCUUUGAAACUGCAGUGCUAGAAUCCUGGAGAGGCGAGUGGAAUUCCGAGUGUAGAGGUGAAAUUCGUAGAUAUUCGGAAGAACACCAGUGGCGAAGGCGACUCGCUGGACAGGUAUUGACGCUGAGGUGCGAAAGCGUGGGGAGCAA
rnacentral:rRNA from 1 species